rnacentral:lncRNA from 10 species
UAGCUUCCCAGCCUACAUCUUUCUCCUGUGCUGGAUGCUUCCUGCCCUCGAACAUUGGACUCCAAGUUCUUCAGUUUUGAGACUCGGACUGGCUCUCCUUGCUCCUCGGCCUGCAGAGAGCCUACUGUGGGACUUUGUGAUCAUUUUAAAUCCCACGGUCAACCUCAGCUCUCUGCCUACUGUGCCUGUGCCCACACAGCUGAAGAAGUCCAGAGAAAACACACAAGGCUUCAAGGAAUUGAAUGGCUUCAUGUUGACUGACGUUACACUGGUAGCUUGAGCUCAGCAGUGGUGAGCAUAUUUAUACCGCAGGAAUCAGCAGACACUUCAAGUCAAAUGCUUUUUAAUUGGAUAGUUUUCACAUUUAUAGAAAAGUGAGGUUUCGUUGUGUUGGCCGGGCUGGUCUCCAGCUCCUAACCGCGAGUGAUCCGCCAGCCUCGG